rnacentral:lncRNA from 1 species
AAAACACUAGUAAUUAGGGAUAACUAAAGUGGGGAUAGUACAUUUACGUAUGUAUAAUAAAGAAAGAGAAAAAUAAACAUACAAAAGUCUACAAAAAGAAGUGAAAAUGCCAAAGGGCAUUAUGAAUAAAGUUCAUGUGCCCGAACCUGGACAAACAUUGGGUGUUUUCACUAUGAGUAAUAGGUUGGAAUCAUUACAAGUGAGACCCCGUAAGGUCAAAAGGCGAAACACCUAGGAAAAGU